AAAAAGGGUGUUUACCGCUUUGAUGGUACGUACGCCUUCGCGGUGUGCGGGGUAUGGUUAUCAAGACAUACUCAACACGUAAUUUUUGUAUACAGGAGGCAGUUGGCUACCCAUAAGUACCGGCGCCUCU